AUAUCAUCAGCCCAGCUCCAUCAAGUGCAAGUGGCCGCUGCACCCCCACCGCAAAAUAGCAUUGGAAGUGUCCUCUCGUACGUCGAAGUUUGGAAUCAAUCGAUCGCUUCACAUACCUAUCAGUCGCAAGUUUAGGUUGAAAAUGGACGACCGCAGUAAGAUCAAUCAGAUAAAAGCAUCGUUUUCUAGCCCAUUACAGGGGUUGGCUUUUGUAAGCGUGUUGAUUUACCUUUCAUCAAUAUACCUAACCUGGUAUUUGUAAUUUAAAUUAAUGUUUUUAUUAUUAUUACUAUUUUGUUUACUAUGUUGAAUAUAUUACUGUGAUUAAUAUAUAUAGUUUGAUGUCGUUAAUUAUUCAAGUUCAGAUUAUUUUUUUAUUGCUUUUCUGACGUGUCUAUUAAAUACUUAAUAAUAA